CCUUUUUAAUUUAUUUAUUAAUUUUUCAAUGGAUAAAUCACGGAUUGAAAGCCCCAGACCUCAAACGAGUACUUUCUUGGUUUGGAUAAAUUUCUUGAUUUUGCAUUUAAGAAUGCGACUGUUGAAGAUACGAUUAGAUGUCCAUGUCCUAUAUGUCAUUUUAGCAAGUGGAAAACUAGAGUGGAAGUGCAGGAUCAUUUGAUUUGCAAUCCAUUCGCUCAUAAUUAUGUUACUUGGAAUAUUCAUGGUGAGAAAAAGGUGUUAAGAGUCUUCUAGAGAUAGAGCUGCUACGCAAGGGACAUUUCAUCCAGAAAAUCCAAUAGAAACAAUGAUUAUUGAUGCAUUUGGGCAGUUUUGGAAGCAUUCAAGUAGUUGAUGAAGGGACAUCUCAACCAUUGGGUUCAACUAGAAUGUCAAAUCAGGGGCAUAGGGAGGGUUCUGGUGACUUUCAUUAUUUUCUCAAAGAUGGAAGUGAAACGUUGUACGAAGGAAGCAAGUACACAAAGCUAGAGUUUUUAAUAAAAUUGUAUCAUAUAAAGGUCUAUUGUCGAUUAACUGACAAGGCAAUGACCAUGAUACUGGAUUUGUUGAGAGAUGCAUUUGAAUAUGCAAAGUUACCUCCUUUUUAUGAGGCCAAAAAAACAAUUAAGAAACUUGGCCUCGACUACACUAAGAUUCCAACAUGUCCAAAUAAUUGUAUGAUAUUCUGGGAAGGUGAUUCAGAAUUGGAAGUAUGUAAACAUAGUGGUACAUCUAAAUGGAGUCCUAAUAAGAAAAAACAAGUAAGCUGCAAAGGUUUUGCUUUACUUUCCAUUGAAGGCAAGGUUGAAAAGGUUAUUUAUGUGCAGCAAGACUGUUGAGCAUAUGAGAUUGCAUGCUUUAGAAAGUAACCCAGAUGUGCUUAUGAGGCAUCCAAGGGAUGGUGAGGCAUGGAAGACAUUUGAUCGGAUUCACUCUGGAUUUUCUUCUGAUCCUCGAAAUAUUCGCUUGGGCCUUGCUAGUGAUGGUUUCAAUCCUUUUGGAACAAUGAGUUCUACCUAUAGUACUUGGCCAGUCUUCUUGAUUCCGUACAAUCUUCCUCCUUGGAUGUGUAUGAAACACACCUCCUUCAUCUUAUCAAUGAUCAUCCCAGGCAAGCAAACGCCUGGAAAUAAUAGAGAUGUAUACUUUCAACCGCUUGUGAAGGAAUUGCGUGAGUUAUGGAAUGAUGGUGUUGAAACAUUUGACUCAUCAUUGAAUGAAACUUUUAGAGUGCAUGCAGCUCUUAUGUAGACAAUUAGCGACUUUCCUGGAUUAGGUAUCUGGAACACACAUACUGGUUUUGCUUGUCCAACUUGUAACUUUGACACUGAACCUUGUCGUCUCCGUCAUGGUAAAAAGUGGUGUUUUAUGGGUCAUCGACGUUUUCUGAGAAGAAAUCACAGGUUUAGAUUAAGCUGAGUACGCUUUAAUGGAAGCACAGAGGAGAGGAAUCCACCAUUAAAAUUAUCAGGAUUUGAUAUUUUGAGACAAAUUGCUGAAGGGAGGAGUAAAAUUGGAUGGUAGAAGGAAAAGAUCUAGACGAGCAACUAAACAAUGGAACACGAGAAGUAUUUUCUUUGAACUUCCAAAUUGGGAGUCCAACUUGUUGCGUCAUAAUCUAGAUUUUAUGCAUAUUGAAAAAAAAAUGUGACAAUAUCAUAUACGUUGCUGGAUGAUAAAUCAAAGUCAAAAUAUAAUGCUAAUGCCAGCAAAGAUCUAAGAGAAAUGAGAAUAGGGCCUGAUAUUUUGUUGAAGGAUGAUGGAUCGUAUAACCUAGCUAUGUUUUCACUUAUGACUGAUAUAAAAAAGAAGGUCGACACCAAAAAGUUGUUUCUUACAACUUUGAAGAAUAUUAAAGUACCAGAUGGCUACUCAAGUAACAUUUCCAGAUGGGUUGAUCUGGCACAAAAAAAAUUCUGGGUUGAAAAGUCAUGAUAGUCAUGUUCUUUUAGAGCAGUUACUACCAUUGGCAAUUCGCAAUGUGUUGCCAGAUCAUGUAGUUAUAUUUUUGGUGGAAUUUCCCUCAUUUUUAGAGCCCUAUCUAGCAAAAUUUUGAAUCCUUCGGAGCUUGAUAUUCUCUAGGAGCGCUUUAUAAUCAGACUUUGUCACCUAGAGAUGCUAUUUCCUCCAUCACUCUUUACUGUAAUGGUUCAUUUAUAAGUUCAUCUAGUAGAGGAAGCAAAACUCGGAGGUCCAGUGCAUUACCGAAACAUGUAUCCUGUGGAGAGGGAAUAGGUUAUUGUAAGCCCUAUGUACGGAAUAAGUCACAACCAGAGGGUUGUAUAGAUGAGGGCCAUAUAGCUGAAGAGACUCUUACCUUUUGUUCUUGGUAUAUUGAGGAUAUUGAGACAAGGUUCAACAGACCUAGGCGUGUCUGUGAUGAACCAACUGAUAUGCCUUCUGGAAUGUCAUCUCUCUUCUCUCAAUUGGGUAAACCUGCAUCAGCGUCAGAAAAACUUCCCUUUAAAUCCUAUGCAGAAACUACAAGCUCAUCGAUAUGUUCUUCUGAAUUGUGCAAUAGUCACGCCAUUUGUGGAUUUCAUAUAGAGAAUUUAGAGAAUACAUAAAGAGGAGUUCAAGAGGAAAAAGACCUUCACCUACAGAGAUAGAGAGGAGAGUUAAUAAAUAGUUUGUUGAUUGGUUUCAAAAGCAGAUUAUGAAUCAAGACACAAUAGAUACAAUGUCUAUCGAUCUAAAGUUUUUAGCAUGAGGUCCAUUUGUAAAUGCAAGAAGAUUUACUGCAUAUAACAUCAAUGGGUCCAAAUUUCGAACUUUGGCUCGAGAAGAAGGUUUGAAAACACAGAAUAGUGGAGUUUUUUUAACUUCCAAAACAUCAUGUGUUGCAAGCACUGUUGACGGAAAGUUAAGGCAAGAAGAGUUACCAUAUAAUGGGAAGUUUGAAGAUAUUGUUGAGAUUAAUUACAAUGGACGGCUCAAGGUUGUUCUUUUCAAAUGUAAAUGGGCUGAUACUACUCAAGAUAGAGGGUAUCAAAAGGAUCUUUAGAAUUUUAAUUGUGUUAAUUUUGAUAGAUUGAUUCAUACUGGUGAACGUGAAGAACAUGAGCCUUACAUCGAAGCAUCUCAAGCACAAACAGUGUACUAUGUGGAUGAUAUUGUCAAUAAAGGGUGGAGUAUUGAUGUGCAUCUAAAGCCAAGAGAUUUAUACAAUAUGGGAGAAGUAAUGGAAGAACAAGUAUAUGAGAAUGAACCAUACCAAGAGCAAGAACUUGACCAAUUUUUCGUUGAUGGUGAUGAGUAUGUUCAACUAGCUACAGAUUAUAUAAUUGAUGAUACAGUAGAGGCAUAUGUUGCUACUAACCUAGCAACAGAUGCAAUGUCUGACUGAGUUUUAUUGAAGAUUUUCGUUAAUUCGGUUUUUUAUUGAAAUUUUCUAUGUUGAUAUAGUUAUUGGCAUUUGAUGGGAUAUGUUUGAUUCAUUAGAAAAAGAUUGAACUUUUGAUUGGAGAAAAAUUUUCUUUUAGAGAUUUGAUUUUAAAUUUCAAAGGACAUAAUUAUGGAUGAAACUGUACAUAGUUCUUUCUAUAGAUAAAUUGUAAUUUUUAGCCAAGUCUAGUUAAUUGUGGUGUUUAAUUAUCUGCUCAAAGCAACCACGAGUGACCAGGGAGAAAUGACAUGUCUGCUCGAGGAGAUGGACCGACUGAUCAGUAGUUGAAGCCUUAUUGUGUGGCUAUGAGGUCGUACUUUAAAGCUCCUUCCUUUGAUGUGGUAUUUGGGAAUAAUGAAGGCUAGCUACUAAGCUGCGGAUGAUAUUAAGGAAUCAAGAUGUGUUUGAAGAUUAGACCUCCAUUCCCAUGGAGACACUACUUUCAAAAAACACAUUAUGUGCUUGAUAGAAAUGACAGCGACCAUGUUGUUGAGGAAAGGGACAAGAUUCACAGAGUGUUAAAUGAGGUAAGUACUUUCCGCUUUAUCAGCCCGGGUGCCUCAAGUGUACAUUCUGGAUCAUGAUUAAAAAACUUCCAGUGGAGUAGGUUGUGGGGAUUGGGUACCCAUGCACACUAACUUGUUAGCCAAUAAGUUCAGCUCCGUAUAUACAUGGUUAACUGGUGGAUUAUACAGUGAAGUACAAGCACUUGCAAUCAUUAAUAAGAUGUGAGUAAAGCUCAUUUGGUGUUGUAAGCAUCUGUAUAACAUCUAAGAAGUCUCCUUCAAUUUGUAAUGGCCUUAGGUGGUAAGACUUGGCUUAAAGUCCUUGCAGUAGAGCAUGCAUUUCAACAAUAACUAUGGAUUCUUUUGGGAUUGUUCCACCAAGUUGAGAAUACAAUUACUCAAAGCUAAAUGUUUGUUCAAUCUAUUUUGUUGGUUCAAUCAGUCAUAUGUGAAUAAUUCUAUUCUUUUCUUAGAUUUUGUUAUUUCUUUAAUUCUAGACCACUCAUAGUCAUGUUUAAGUCUCCUCUAGAUUAUAUGAUUUUGUAGCUAAGCUUUGCUGGAAUUUUUGAAGACCCCAGAAGUAAGCAUACAUGUCAGUGGGAUUUUACAUAGAUCCUGUGCAUAAAAAGGAUGUCAUGAAAGCUAGGGUUAUGCUUGAGAAGAAGAAAGAGUAUGCAACCUACAGUUCAAGGGACCCAAAUUGAUGAUUUGGAAUUCUUAUUGAUCAGCUCACAGAAGAGUCCAAAGUGGAUAUUCCCUAAGGGUGGUUGGGAAACUGAUGAGACAUUAGAAGAUGUUGCUUUAAGAGCCUUUGAUGUUAAAGUGACACGGGAAGCUCGGGAACUUUCAGAUGAACUUGGUGUCAAGGUUUUUAUGACUGAUAUUAUAUAUCACUUAUUUGAUUAGUUUAAAGCCUACAUUGACACUAUCAAGGAAGAAAAAAGAAGUUGCUCAAGAAGCAGUCUUCCCCUGUACAUGUGCUCAAGAUUGUACUGAAUUGUGUCUUCAACAAGAAGGAAAAUAUAUAAUUAAAUUUUAAAUAAAAAGUAAUUUUC